UACGUAGGGUGCAAGCGUUGUCCGUAAUUAUUGGGCGUAAAGAGCUCGUAGGCGGUCUGUUGCGUCGGCUGUGAAAACCCGGGGCUCAACUCCGGGCCUGCAGCCGAUACGGGCAGACUAGAGUUCGGCAGGGGAGACUGGAAUUCCUGGUGUAGCGGUGAAAUGCGCAGAUAUCAGGAGGAACACCGGUGGCGAAGGCGGGUCUCUGGGCCGAUACUGACGCUGAGGAGCGAAAGCGUGGGGAGCAAGCAGG
rnacentral:rRNA from 1 species